rnacentral:lncRNA from 1 species
UUGUGGGUGUCCGAUGAUGUGAGGACCAGUCUGGACUUUCCUAGGAAGUCCAAUGGAGUUUGUUAAGCUGCUCAUCAAGUGAUCUGGGGAACAUUAAAUGAAAUCCCAGGAAAAAAGUUUAGUUACAAAUAAAAGUGAGAUCUUUAUUGCUUCUUUUACAGAUAUAAAAUGUAAUGGAUGAGAGCUCAUUUUUACUCACACUUUUAUCCUGAUAUUCAUGGUAACACUGCAACAGCGGGAAGUGUAAAAAUGCUACAUACCUGAUAUAAAUUUACUUGUUCAAUUUUAGAGCAAAAUAAUAAGAACAGUUGCUACAGUUGAAGCUGCUUUACAAUUCAGUACAAAUUCUGCAUACCUGCAAAAAUAUAUUUUAUUAACCUUUAUCUGCUUUUGUUGUCCAAUGUGUCUUACACUGAUUUCCUAAUUUAUACAGCAGUUUUUUUUUUUUUUCUUUGCUGUUUCAAUACAGGUAAAUAGGUGGGUAAAGUACCUGCAGAUCUAGCAUGAGCAGGAUUUGAACCAACAGCCCUUCAAAUUAAAAGGCCAGCCCCCUUGUGUGUGUGUGUAUCUGCGUCUGCGUGUAAAUGUAUAAAAGAAAGCUAACUUGAAGUCUCUUUCCCCGAUCCUUAUUUCAAAUUUUACCGCCGUUCACACCCACCCCCCGCGUGGAGCGCGCUCCCGUCCGCUCCCGGCCAUUCCCAGCUCUUCCCAGCCUGCACUAACCCUCGUUCCCUAAGCUGUUUACUUCAAUAAGCAAAUUUAAGGACGUAAAUAAAUAUUUAAAAAAAAGUAAUACGCAAAGCGAUUUAAGUAAGGCUUUAAUACGGUCGGCGCGUUUAGUGAGGAUUUCGAAGCGGUUGCCCUUUCUGGCUCGGAGCCAAUCCGUUUUUCGCGUGACACGAAGGACGCCUGUGACCCGGAUGUGUCUUUCAUCAUCAUUAGUGCAGCGCGCGCUUAUCGCCAUCAGGCUCGGGGAGACGCUUAAAGAGACAGACCCUCGAGACGAGCACAUUGCGGCGUUAAAGGUACUACAGCAUUGGUGGCCCGGGACCAGGACCCUUCCGACUGCUGGGCGACAACUUUAA